rfam:Schistosoma mansoni strain Puerto Rico chromosome W, complete genome
AUUCAACUGACGAGUCUUAAAUAGGACGAAACGCGCAUCCUGGAU